UUCUAAAAGAUCUUUAACCGAAAACGAAUCUUUAAUAAGAAUUGUUCGGUUAUUCCUUAGGUUGCACGAGGCCUUUCUAAAAGACGUAAGUCACUUAGAGCUGCAUUUAGAUUCUGACGAUGAAGAGUCUUGGGAAAUUAAUGAUAUCUUUUUACUUUCUCAAGAUCCUGGUCGCAAUAGAGCUGAACAAAAAAAACUUAUAAAAAACAGUUUGCAUUCUGCGGAUAAAGAAAAGAACAGAAUUGAGCGGCAACUGCCUGAAAGCGUACAUAAAGAUGAGAGUUUAAAAGAAGUAGAGCCUGUCUAUGUUCUUAACGAAUCAACGAAAGAACGCGAGCUAAAAGG